UAUGGAGGGCGGAGCCUGGGCGCCGAGAGAGGGAAUUACUGUGAGCCGGUGAGUAGAAGCGGCCGUCCUUUCCCAGCAGGCGCCUUCCCAACCCCGGAGUCUGCAGCAAGUGUUAAUGAGGGCAUAGUAUGUGCUGACCCUGCUGGAGGCCUGGGAUGCAAAGCUCCACUGGGGCCAUGUCAGAACGAGAGGAGAGGAGGUUUGUGGAGAUCCCUCGGGAGUCGGUCCGGCUCAUGGCAGAGAGCACAGGUCUAGAGCUGAGUGACGAAGUGGCCGCUCUGCUCGCUGAAGAUGUGUGCUACCGUCUCCGAGAGGCCACACAGAAUAGCUCUCAGUUCAUGAAACACACCAAACGAAGGAAGCUGACUGUGGAGGACUUCAACAGGGCUCUCAGGUGGAGCAGUGUGGAGGCUGUGUGUGGCUAUGGGUCCCAGGAGGCAUUGCCCUUGCGCCCUGCAAGGGAGGGUGAACUCUACUUCCCAGAGGAUCGAGAAGUGAACCUGGUGGAGCUGGCACUGGCCACCAACAUCCCCAAGGGCUGUGCAGAGACAGCUGUCAGAGUUCAUGUCUCCUAUCUGGAUGGCAAAGGAAACCUGGCGCCUCAGGGAUCAGUGCCCAGUGCAGUGUCUUCACUGACAGAUGACCUGCUCAAAUACUACCAGCAAGUGACACGGGCUGUACUGGGUGAUGAUCCACAGCUGAUGAAGGUUGCCCUCCAGGACCUGCAGACAAACUCCAAGAUUGCAGCACUCCUGCCUUACUUUGUUUAUGUGGUCAGUGGGGUAAAAUCUGUAAGCCACGACCUGGAGCAACUGCACCGACUGCUGCAGGUGGCACGGAGCCUGAUACGGAACCCACACCUGUGCUUGGGACCCUAUGUCCGAUCCUUGGUGGGCAGCGUGCUUUACUGUGUCUUGGAGCCAUUGGCCGCCUCCAUUAACCCUUUGAAUGACCACUGGACUCUGCGAGAUGGGGCUGCCCUUCUACUCAGCCACAUCUUCUGGACUCAUGGAGACCUUGUAAGUGGCCUCUAUCAGCAGAUUCUGCUCUCCCUGCAGAAGGUCCUGACAGACCCUGUUCGGCCUCUCUGUUCUCACUAUGGGGCAGUGGUAGGGCUGCACGCUCUAGGCUGGAAGGCAGUGGAGCGAGUCCUCUACCCACAUCUGCCUACUUACUGGACAAACUUGCAGGCAGUGCUGGAUGACUACUCCGUAUCCAAUGCCCAGGUCAAAGCGGACGGGCACAAAGUGUAUGGAGCUAUUCUGGUGGCUGUAGAACGACUACUGAAGAUGAAAGCUCAGGCAGCAGAGCCCAACCGCGGUGGCCUCGGCGGGAGAGGGUUCCGUCCUGCGGAGGACCUGCCUUGGGACAGUCUUCUCCUACAAGAGUCUCCCCCCGGGGGCAGCUCCGAAACAGGUUUUGGGUCUGGUCUCCCGCCGCCGUCAGGGGUUGCGGGACCAGAGGACCCUUCUUCCUUGACCCUGGCAGACAUCUACCGUGAGCUAUACUCCUUCUUUGGUGACAGCUUGGCCACUCGCUUUGGCACUGGCCAGCCUGCUCCCACCGCCCCGCGACCACCCGGAGACAAGAAGGAACCUGCGGCUGCCCCGGAUUCGGUGCGGAAAAUGCCGCAGCUGACUGCCAGCGCCGUGGUCAGCCCUCAGGGUGACGAAAGCCCGUGCGGUGGGACUCUCGCCGCCGCCAACGCGGCCUCGGAGAGUAGGCCGCUGCCGCGCGUACACCGGGCGCGGGGCGCUCCUCGUCAGCAGGGCCCCGGCGCGGGAACGCGAGACGUCUUCCAGAAGAGCCGCUUCGCGCCCCGUGGCGCCCCACACUUCCGGUUUAUAAUUGCAGGGCGUCAGGCCGGGCGGCGCUGCCGCGGGCGCCUCUUUCAAACUGCUUUUCCUGCACCCUAUGGGCCCAGCCCCGCGUCCCGCUACGUGCAGAAGCUGCCCAUGAUCGGCCGGACCGGCCGCCCGGCCCGCCGCUGGGCGCUCUCCGAUUACUCGCUGUACCUGCCACUGUGAGGCUGCGGCGCCUCGGAGAAUAAAGCCACACCUGGAAGUGACGUGUCUGUGCUCGUGGGCGGGGCUUGGGCGGUUGGCUUCCUGGUAGCCUGGGCGCCAUGGCGCUGUCCUGGUUGCAGCGAGUUGAGCUCUUGCUCUUCACUGCCGCCUUCCUGUGCGGGGCUCUGGCGGCCGCGGCGCUGACCCGGACCCAGGUCCCUCAGCCCCUUCCCUCUGCUACUUUGUGGCUGGGGCUUCAGGCAUCCUGGCACUCUACUGCCUUCUGCUUCUCUUCUUCUGGGUCUACAGCAGCUGCAUCGAGGACUCCCACAGAGGUUCUAUAGGGCUGCGAAUUGCUUUGGUCAUCUCAGCUACAGCCAUCUUCCUGAUCUUAGUGUCUGCCUGUAUACUUCGAUUUGGCACCAAUUUUUUCUGCAAUUCCAUCAUCUCCUUGAACAUUACAAUUAGCUGCUCUGAAGCCCAGAAAAUCUCAUGGACACCUCCAGGAACUGCUGUGCAGUUUUACUCCAACCUACACAAUGCUGAAACCUCUUCUUGGGUGAAUCUGAUAUUGUGGUGUCUGGCUUUGAUGCUCCAGGUCAUGCAGUGCAAGUUUAAAGCCACAUCAUACCAGCCCCAGGAGAGGGGUGACCAAGAGUGGAGCUCUGAGACCGAUGCUCUUGUUGGGCACCACCAGUCUCACUCCUGAAGAAUACUCAAGUGCUUUCUGCAACCAGAACCUCCAUGCCCAAGUGCUUUUAAUCCUGCCUCUGUACAGCCUUGUUUAUAUUAGAAACCUCAGUUUUCCCUCCAGGAGGGAAACAUUCAAAUAGGCCACGUAUGCUUUUUCUCCUUAAGCUUUUUUGUACCAAAAUAAUAUAUUACUUUUCUUCAU